UGGGGAAUAUUGCGCAAUGGGGGGAACCCUGACGCAGCAACGCCGCGUGAAGGAUGAAGGUUUUCGGAUUGUAAACUUCUUUAGUCGGGGACGAAGAAAUGACGGUACCCGAAGAAUAAGCCACGGCUAACUACGUGCCAGCAGCCGCGGUAAUACGUAGGUGGCAAGCGUUGUCCGGAAUUACUGGGUGUAAAGGGCGUGUAGGCGGGAAUGCAAGUCAGAUGUGAAAUUCCGGGGCUCAACCCCGGGGCUGCAUCUGAAACUGUAUUUCUUGAGUGCUGGAGAGGAAAGCGGAAUUCCUAGUGUAGCGGUGAAAUGCGUAGAUAUUAGGAGGAACACCAGUGGCGAAGGCGGCUUUCUGGACAGUAACUGACGCUGAGGCGCGAAAGCGUGGGGAGCAAACA
rnacentral:rRNA from 1 species